rnacentral:rRNA from 1 species
ACCCGCUGAACUUAAGCAUAUCAAUAAGCGGAGGAAAAGAAACCAACAGGGAUUGCCCUAGUAACGGCGAGUGAAGCGGCAACAGCUCAAAUUUGAAAUCUGGCCCUCGGGUCCGAGUUGUAAUUUGUAGAGGAUGCUUUUGGUGAAGUGCCUUCCGAGUUCCUUGGAACAGGACGCCUUAGAGGGUGAGAGCCCCGUACGGUUGGACACUAAGCCUCUGUAAAGCUCCUUCGACGAGUCGAGUAGUUUGGGAAUGCUGCUCUAAAUGGGAGGUAAAUUUCUUCUAAAGCUAAAUACCGGCCAGAGACCGAUAGCGCACAAGUAGAGUGAUCGAAAGAUGAAAAGUACUUUGAAAAGAGGGUUAAAUAGCACGUGAAAUUGUUGAAAGGGAAGCGUUUAUGACCAGACCUUUGUCUAGCGGAUCAUCCGGUGUUCUUCACCGGUGCACUUCGCUAGGCUUAGGCCAGCAUCGAUUUCUGUAGGGGGAUAAAGACCAUGGGAACGUAGCUCUCUCCGGGGAGUGUUAUAGCCCUAGGUGUAAUACCUUUACGGGGAUCGAGGUUCGCGCUUCUGCAAGAUGCUGGUGUAAUGGCUCAUCAACGACCCGUCUUGAAACACGGACC